UACGAAGGGGGCUAGCGUUGCUCGGAAUCACUGGGCGUAAAGCGCACGUAGGCGGACUCUUAAGUCAGGGGUGAAAUCCUGGAGCUCAACUCCAGAACUGCCUUUGAUACUGGGAGUCUUGAGUUCGGGAGAGGUGAGUGGAACUGCGAGUGUAGAGGUGAAAUUCGUAGAUAUUCGCAAGAACACCAGUGGCGAAGGCGGCUCACUGGCCCGAUACUGACGCUGAGUGCGAAAGCGU
rnacentral:rRNA from 1 species